GAUGAACGCUGGCGGCGUGCCUAAUACAUGCAAGUCGAGCGAACAGACGAGGAGCUUGCGCCUCUGACGUUAGCGGCGGACGGGUGAUUAACACGUGGAUAACCUACCUAUAAGACUGGGAUAACUUCGGGAAACCGGAGCUAAUACCGGAUAAUAUAUUGAACCGCAUGGUUCAAGAGUUAAAGACGGUUUUGCUGUCACUUAUAGAUGGAUCAGCGCCGCAUUAGCUAGUUGGGAAGGUAACGGCUUACCAAGGCGACGAUGCGUAGCCGACCUGAGAGGGUGAUAGGCCACACUGGAACUGAGACAAGGUCCAGACUCCUACGGGAGGCAGCAGUAGGGAAUCUUCCGCAAUGGGCGAAAGCCUGACGGAGCAACGCCGCGUGAGUGAUGAAGGUCUUCGGAUCGUAAAACUCUGUUAUUAGGGAAGAACAAAUGUGUAAGUACCUAUGCACGUCUUGACGGUACCUAAUCAGAAAGCCACGGCUAACUACGUG
rnacentral:rRNA from 1 species